AACUACAUUAUCGAUGUAUAGAUUCACCCGUGAGAUGAUGUGGCUAUUACACCUAAGACGAGGACAUGGCAUUCUAUUACCAGCCAUCGCACGAAAUUAAUAUGAUGCCACGUCCUCAUCUUAGAUGGAACAACCACGUCAUCUCACGGGUGGAACAACCAUAUCAUCUCACGGGUGAAUCCAUUCAUCGAUAGUGUGGUU
rfam:Oryza rufipogon genomic scaffold, chr01